UUCUUCUUUGAUACGAACGCUUCCUAUUCACUGCACCAUUCGCUUUAAUGAAUGAUUGGAGGGGAAAAGGAAAGCCAGAUAAAGCUCGAAACACGUCCUCAUACUAAGUUUGCUCUAAUCCCGUAGCAUAGUUGGAUUCUGCGUUUUCGAAACACUA
rnacentral:snoRNA from 1 species